AGAGUUGCGGUUCAUCCCAUAGUGACAAUCAGGGCACUAGUUUACUUCCUACAAAUCAUUACAGAUUUGCAGGCUGGCAUAACUCCACCCCAAUGUAUUCUGUAAAAGUUCCGCCUCCAUAUUCUUCACUUUCAGUAGCUGUUAAAUGAACAAGUAUGUGGACGGCAGAGAACUCAAAUACGAAUAAAUUCUGAGGGUCAGUCAAGGAAGAUAAAGUGAAGUACUAUGAAGCUCAGCACCACAGGAUUGAUAAGAAGAUCUAUCUUGCACAUAGAUUGCCGGUACUUCUUAGGAAGUGGCUUCAAUGUAACCAUCACUGAAACAGCAUCAUCUGACAAGGGCUGAACUCUCAUCACCAGCUUUCAUCUAAUCAAGGCAGUUGGAUCCCUUUGCCUUUUGCAAUUGAAAUACAAAUGUAAGAACGAAAGAUGAAGCAGCUUUUUCAUCUGUUGCUCUCUCUCUCCAAACCCCUAAGUCGCAGGGUUCUUUCCUACAAUGGAAGAAAAGAAAGUAUAUCGAAUAGAUGAAGGUAGCACCGAAGAUGUGAGUCAAAAAAGUAACCAUGAUAUAAGUAACAUCAGCAAUGGAAACAAAACUAUUCACGAAGAUGGCCAUAACAACAAUAUUAAAGUAACAAAUGGUGAAAACAACUCAACUAUUGAAAAUAAAUCUAUUUCAGCUGCAGAUUCUAGCACACCAUUAUUGGGCACAAGGCAAAUUCAAGCUCUACUUUAUUUUCUUGUUUUUUUGUUUCUUUCUACAUGAGAGCAAGCCUCUCUAUGGCCAUAGUUGUAAUGACAAGUAAAAUAACACCAAUGAAGGAUACGAGGUGAGUGAAACAAAAAAAAAUUUUUCUUUGCAGGUGUAUAUUGUUUUCUCUUUUUUCUAAUAUAUGCACCUAGGUCGUCCGGAAAACAAUGCGACUGGUGCUCGUACAAACAAACAUAAACCUCCAGCAAAAUUCAACCUGCAUAACACUAAAGAGUAACCCAUCAGCCGUAAAAUAAGUACUUUUAGAGUUUGUUCGGUUCAAAAUUAAGCUUGUUAAAAUGUUUUAAAAAUCUUUUGCUAAGGGGUCCAUUCUUUUAUUUUCAGAUAGUAUUUCGAGAGAGGGAGAGAAAAAAAAACUGCAUAAUCAAGAUUCACAAUCUAUCUUUAUAUAGUCUAUAACACGAAAAGUGGUGGCUGAGGGGCGGAAUUAGGUGAGUGACUCGAUCUAUUGUCUGAGGGUGAGCUUGGGCCCUCUGAAUGAGCCAAUGUACCUGCAUUCAAACCCUCAACCAAUAAAACGAGCCGCUCAGCUGAUUCUGCCUCUCAGUCAUUACUUUUCAGCAACAUAGCAAAGUUCUCUGUCAAAACAGAAAAAUUCAUCUGCUUGAAACCACUCGAUCUUAGGGGAACAAUGUAUGUUCAGUGCAUAAAGGUAAUGCUUCACACAUAGGUGCACAUAAUGAUCUUCUCCCAAUAGCU
rnacentral:lncRNA from 1 species